UUAAUGAGGCGAACCGGGGGAACUGAAACAUCUAAGUACCCCGAGGAAAAGAAAUCAACCGAGAUUCCCCCAGUAGCGGCGAGCGAACGGGGAGGAGCCCAGAGCCUGAAUCAGCAUGUGUGUUAGUGGAAGCGUCUGGAAAGGCGCGCGAUACAGGGUGACAGCCCCGUACACAAAAGCGCAUGUGCUGUGAGCUCGAUGAGUAGGGCGGGACACGUGGUAUCCUGUCUGAAUAUGGGGGGACCAUCCUCCAAGGCUAAAUACUCCUGACUGACCGAUAGUGAACCAGUACCGUGAGGGAAAGGCGAAAAGAACCCCGGCGAGGGGAGUGAAAAAGAACCUGAAACCGUGUACGUACAAGCAGUGGGAGCCCCACCACUAAGCCAGUGGUGAACUCCACAUCCGCAUCCUUUGCUGAGGAUAC
rnacentral:rRNA from 1 species